GACAGGGUGGCCGAGUGGUUAAGGCGAUGGACUGCUAAUCCAUUGUGCUUUUAGCGUGGGUUCGAAUCCCAUCCUCGUCC
rnacentral:tRNA from 1 species